rnacentral:tRNA from 2 species
GCCGUCGUAGCUCAGCCUGGUAGAGCGCGUGCUUGGUAAGCACGAGGUCGCGGGUCCGAACCCCGUCGGCGGCU